ACAGAAAUGGCCAGACUGGGCUCCGACCUGCUGCUGUUGUCGAUCCGACGAGCUUGAUCUCAUUAAGGGGGAGGCCAGUGCCGAGCGGCAGCUCCGGUUCAUGGAGCAGCUGCUGGAUGUGAUCCGGUACCUGGACGCCAUCACUGGGACGGACGCCGGGGACUCCACCACCUCCAGCAGGGAGGAGUCACUCCGGGGGGCCGCGAGGAAGAAUGAGGAGUUCCUGCAUGAGGUCUUCUCCAGCCCCAGUUUGCCGGCCUUGCUGGCCCCCACCCUGCCCCCCUGCACCGCCGACAUCAAGCCGCUGCUGCUGGAGGAGCCGGCCCCGCUCAUGAGGUUUGUUGGGAGUUUGCCCCCUUCACAACACCCCCCCAGCCAAGGCUGGGCCCUG
rnacentral:lncRNA from 1 species